rnacentral:lncRNA from 1 species
UCUUGGAGGCUUCUAGGCGUGAUCCCUGUUUCUCUACCUUUAAAGACUUGCCGGAGUUUCGACUGGAAUGAUUCACUUGUUUGAUUGGAAGUUUUUCGGACUAGGCCACAUAAGCUCUUCACUUAUCUUAUCACUCUAAUAGGGUUUCACUAGUAUUAGACUUUUGUUUAGGGGUUGUAUCCAGAACUCUGCUUGUUUUUUAGAUUAUCCGUGUUGAGGAUGCUGCC